CAAGUAUAGAUAAAAAGAUGUUCCUAGUCACACAAGGGCUAUUUCUUCACAGUGUAGCCAGACAUUUCUUGUCCUUUCAUUGGUCUUCUACUUUAGUGAUAAAAUAUCUGCUCUCUCAAGCUCAAAUUGUGUCAUCCUAGGUUAUGUAGUCAAGAAUAAAAGGCCACAGCAUCCAGCAGCAGCACAGACUUGCUUCUGAUGCUUCUGUAAUCACCUGUAAGCUCCAAAACUUGACAUCAUGGUGCAUUUUACUGCCGAGAAGAAAGCUGCUAUCACUAGCUUGUGGGGCAAAGUGAAUGUGAAGAGGCUGGAGGCGAGGCUCUGGGCAGCAUUACCAUCGGGAAAAAGAAGUGGGGAAAGAGACCUUACUUUCUCAUCGGUCUCCAACCCUCCUUGCAUCCGGUCUGCAAGUUCUUCCUUCAAAGUGACUCCUGGAUGGCCCCAGCCCCGGGGACUGUUUGUUUCUCCUCAGCUUCUCCCAGGUGGAGCCUUGGUGUUUCACACACACAGAGGAAGGAGCAGGAUAAAUUCUUCCAUGACAGACCCAGCCUGAUGCCCCUCAAGUGACACUGGUGCCAUCCUGCCUACCCUCGUCCUUUUUCAGUACAGAUGACCUGGCUUCUCUUUUUAAAAGUUAGCAGCUGCUGGUGAGUCUCUACUGCUGUCCUGUGCCAGGGUCUCAGGGGUGGGUGUUAAGGGGUCGUAGGAAAAGAAAGGGAGAAAAUACAGGGAGAAUGAAAUGUAGAGAUUUCCAAGAAAGCAAUGAUCCUGGAAGGAGGUGGUCUGAGUUCUCAUCCUCACUCCUCACCUAACACUUAAAUGACUUUAGACAGGUUUAUUCCCUAUAUUGGAACUUGCUUAGCUUUUUUCAUUUGCAAAAUGAAAUUUUGGGAUCCAGGCUGUCACAGAAGCACUUUCACUUCUGAUAUUCAGUGUUUGCAUAGACCCAGAGCCAGAGAGGGAUCAAGGCUUGCCCACUCUAGAAGUGGGGAUGGCCAUCUGCACUAUCAUGUUUCUUGGGUCUGAGAGAGAGGUGCCUCUCUCCUCCUGACCAUAGUCUCCAUGGCCAGGCCAAUUCCUUCCUGGCUCCUGUCUGGAAUCAGCUUUCAAAUGCCAUUGGAACGUCACAAACCCUCAGGUCUCCAUAGACUCUUCUCUGGUAAAGCUGGCUAUUACAUAUAGCCUUCCCUUUUCCUCUUAUCCACCAAACAGCUACUCACUUAACAGCACACACAUU
rnacentral:lncRNA from 1 species